UAUGUUAUGUUUCUUUAUUCAGCAUAACGUGUGCUGCAAUGAAUCACUCAGUUUUCAAUCUUUGUCACAAAUCCACAACCGCUGGGAUGGCAGGAACGUGAUCUCUUUCUAUUUAUUGAAUACAGCUUUGUAAUUACCUAUAGUGACUGCGGCAAUGAAUCAAUAUGCUUUUCAUAUUUUCCACGAAGCCCACACCGAUGAUAUGCCAACUCACACAAAUGAGAAGCCAGCCACAACCGCUGGUAUGGCAGCCCACACCGAUGGGAUGCCGG